CAAAUAUUCAAUCAGUGCUUCUUUUUUUCUUUUUUUUCACCAUUUGUAGGCUAAGAUUUUCGUAAUCUUGCUGUCUAAAUCUUCCCAGCUGUAGUUCCUAAUAUUCUUCAGUAGCAUUGCUGGAUUACAUUUUAUACUUAAGUGGGAGCCACUGCCUUAAUAAUAAACCAAUUAAUACUUGAAAUAUGAUUAUCUCAUCAUAAAUUGAUAAAAGACUUGCAAAAGCAGUUAAAGAGAGAGAGAAUCUUGACUGAAGAACAUUAUUGAUUGGGAAAAGAAGGAGAAUGGACAGAUAUGACUCGAGCCCUGUAGCCCCUUUGAUCCCAAGCCAAGGCAGAAGCCACUGGAUUGAUAGAGAGGUAUCUGAACAAGGUUGUUAUAGAGGGGAGAUUAUUGAAGAAGUAAAGAGGCAGCUAGGACUAGCACUGCCUCUGAUUGCAGUGAGCAUUCUGCAGUACUGUUUACAAAUUAUUUCGAUCAUGUUUGUCGGCCAUCUUGGGGAGCUGCCUCUUUCAAGUACUUCGAUGGCUACUUCCUUCGCUUCAGUCACUGGAUUCAACGUAUUGUUAGGAAUGGGAAGUGCACUGGAAACGCUAUGUGGACAAGCUUAUGGAGCCAAACAGUAUCGCAUGCUUGGCAUCUAUACGCAGCGAGGGAUGAUAGUUCUUCUAGUGUUAAGCAUUUUCCUUGCAUUGAUUUGGUUCUACACAGACCACAUUCUAAUAGUUCUUGGUCAAGAUCAGGAGAUAUCUAUUGAAGCUGGGAAAUUUAAUCGGUCAAUGAUACCAGGCCUUUUUGCCUAUGCCCUCCUUCAAUGCAUCAACAGAUUUUUACAGACUCAAAAUAUUGUGUUUCCUAUGAUGAUGAGCUCUGGCAUUACAGCGUUAUUUCAUGUUCUUUUAUGCUGGUUUCUUGUGUUCAAAACUGGAUUUGGAAACAGAGGAGCUGCUCUUGCAAAUGGCAUAUCAUAUUGGGUUAAUGUGUUUUUGCUGACGGUGUACAUCAAGUUUUCACCAGCUUGCUCAAGUACUUGGACUGGCUUCUCUCAAGAGGCCUUGCUUGGUAUCGUCAGUUUUAUAAAACUUGCAAUUCCUUCAGCUAUCAUGAUUUGUUUGGAGUAUUGGUCAUUUGAGAUGGUUGUUCUAUUAUCUGGUCUUUUGCCAAAUCCAAAACUAGAAACAUCAGUCCUAUCUAUCAGCCUCAAUACAUGUUGGAUGGUCUAUAUGAUCUCUGUCGGUCUUGGUGCUGCCAUAAGUACGAGAGUUUCAAAUGAAUUGGGCGCUGGAAAUCCACAAGGCGCGCGCUUAGCAUUGGGUGUGGUAGUCAUAGUGGCCCUUACAGAGGGCGCAAUUGUUGGAACAACAACCAUUCUGGUUCGGCAUAUAUGGGGAAAGCUCUAUAGCAAUGAAGAAGAGGUGGUUAGAUAUGUGGCUAAGAUGUUGCCUCUUCUUGCACUAUCUGACUUCUUUGAUGGAUUCCAAUGUGUCUUAUCAGGGGCUGCAAGAGGAUGUGGAUGGCAAAACCUCUGUGCAUUUAUCAACCUUGGAGCUUAUUAUAUUGUAGGAAUACCUUCAGCUGUUCUGCUUGCUUUCUUCUUCCACAUUGGAGGCAUGGGACUUUGGAUGGGAAUCAUAUGUGGCCUUUCAGUGCAAGUUGUAGCACUUGUUACAGUAAACCUGUGCACUGAUUGGGAUAAUGAGGCAAGAAUGGCAGUGAAUAGAAUUCAAAGUUGCAGCAUACCAGAGGAAUAAUCACCAGAACAAAAGGAAGUUAGUAAAAGAAUCCCUAAUUACUUCUAGAACUGUAAUUAUCAGAUGGCACUUGCUUCACUGCGACAAAGGAAGCCCGUUUUCAGUUUUUUUGUUCUCCUGCUUCAACUUUCUUAUCAAGUGGCAGUCCACGUCUGAAAUUUGAGGAACGAUAAAAGGAAGGUGAGAGCUGGUGAUAAGGUUCUUGGCUGCGAAAUAUUGUUCCUGGAAACUCUGUAUCUACCGCUAUGAAGCGAUAAGUUGCAAGAUUUUGCUCAAUGAUGGAAAAGUCUGCCCUUAAAUUGUAUGCAUACAACUUUCUAACUACAAUCAGCUUUCCCUCCA